rnacentral:rRNA from 2 species
GGGUUGUGAGGUUAAGCGACUAAGCGUACACGGUGGAUGCCCUGGCAGUCAGAGGCGAUGAAGGGCGUGCUAAUCUGCGAUAAGCGCCGGUAAGGUGAUAUGAACCGUUAUAACCGGCGAUACCCGAAUGGGGAAACCCAGUGUGAUUCGUCACACUAUCAUUAACUGAAUCCAUAGGUUAAUGAGGCGAACCGGGGGAACUGAAACAUCUAAGUACCCCGAGGAAAAGAAAUCAACCGAGAUUCCCCCAGUAGCGGCGAGCGAACGGGGAGGAGCCCAGAGCCUGAAUCAGCAUGUGUGUUAGUGGAAGCGUCUGGAAAGGCGCGCGAUACAGGGUGACAGCCCCGUACACAAAAGCGCAUGUGCUGUGAGCUCGAUGAGUAGGGCGGGACACGUGGUAUCCUGUCUGAAUAUGGGGGGACCAUCCUCCAAGGCUAAAUACUCCUGACUGACCGAUAGUGAACCAGUACCGUGAGGGAAAGGCGAAAAGAACCCCGGCGAGGGGAGUGAAAAAGAACCUGAAACCGUGUACGUACAAGCAGUGGGAGCACCCUUUGGGUGUGACUGCGUACCUUUUGUAUAAUGGGUCAGCGACUUAUAUUCUGUAGCAAGGUUAACCGAAUAGGGGAGC